rnacentral:rRNA from 1 species
ACGAACGCUGGCGGCGUGCUUAACACCUGCAAGUCGCACGGAAAGGCCCUGCUUUUGUGGGGUGCUCGAGUGGCGAACGGGUGAGUAACACGUGAGUAACCUGCCCUUGACUUUGGGAUAACUUCAGGAAACUGGGGCUAAUACCGGAUAGGAGCUCCUGCUGCAUGGUGGGGGUUGGAAAGUUUCGGCGGUUGGGGAUGGACUCGCGGCUUAUCAGCUUGUUGGUGGGGUAGUGGCUUACCAAGGCUUUGACGGGUAGCCGGCCUGAGAGGGUGACCGGCCACAUUGGGACUGAGAUACGGCCCAGACUCCUACGGGAGGCAGCAGUGGGGAAUAUUGCACAAUGGGCGGAAGCCUGAUGCAACAACGCCGCGUGCGGGAUGACGGCCUUCGGGUUGUAAACCGCUUUCGCCUGUGACGAAGCGUGAGUGACGGUAAUGGGUAAAGAAGCACCGGCUAACUACGUG